GUCCACGCAGUAAACGAUGAUAACUCGUUGCCGGCGAUACACAGUCGGUGACUUAGCGAAAGCGUUAAGUUAUCCACCUGGGGAGUACGUUCGCAAGAAUGAAACUCAAAGGAAUUGACGGGGGCCCGCACAAGCGGAGGAACAUGUGGUUUAAUUCGAUGAUACGCGAGGAACCUUACCCGGGCUUGAAAGUUAGCGACGGACCGAGAAAUCGGUCUUCCCCUUCGGGGCGCGAAACUAGGUGCUGCAUGGUUGUCGU
rnacentral:rRNA from 1 species